rnacentral:lncRNA from 1 species
GCACGUCCAGCCCCUCACCGUGUGUGCACGCAUGAUAGGGCAAGUAUAUGGAUGUCAGAGACCCACCGCAGGAGUCACUUCUCACCACUGCGUGGAUUCCAGGAUCAACUGAGGCCACCGUGCCUCAGAGAAAUCACUGCGACUUCCUGUCUUCCAGGCUGGAAUCCAGAGGUUCCAGAGGACCCAGAAGGUUGUAGUAUUGGUAAGCUGCUCUCUGGAGAGGGGAAUGGGGUCCUCACUCUGUCCAGCCAAGUCAAAAUCACAGGCUUAGCCUUAAAGUGGGUCCAGGAUACUGGCCCAGGGAUCCCUGCAGAGCCUCAUUGAGUAAAAUGAAACCAGAUUUUCAGACCUUGUCUAAACUUGUAUCCUCAAGGGCUGGUGAGAUG